rnacentral:rRNA from 1 species
GGUUGAUCCUGCCGGACCUGACUGCUAUCGGAUUGAUACUAAGCCAUGUGAGUCAUUGUAGCAAUACAAGGCAGACGGCUCAGUAACACGUAGCCAACCUACCCUAUGGACGGGGAUAACCUCGGGAAACUGAGGAUAAACCCCGAUAGAUCAUAAUGCCUGGAACGGUUUAUGGUCCAAAUGAUUCGUCGCCGUAGGAUGGGACUGCGGCCUAUCAGCUUGUUGGUGAGGUAAUGGCCCACCAAGGCUAUUACAGGUACGGGCUCUGAGAGGAGAAGCCCGGAGAUGGGUACUGAGACACGGACCCAGGCCCUAUGGGGCGCAGCAGGCGAGAAAACUUUGCAAUGUGCGCAAGCACGACAAGGUUAAUCCGAGUNGUGUUUCCUGCUAAAGGAAUCUUUUGCUAGUCCUAAAAACACUAGCGAAUAAGGGGUGGGCAAGUUCUGGUGUCAGCCGCCGCGGUAAAACCAGCACCUCAAGUGGUCAGGAGGAUUAUUGGGCCUAAAGCAUCCGUAGCCUGCUUUGUAAGUUUCCGGUUAAAUCCAUUAGCUUAACUGAUGGGCCGCCGGAAAAACUGCAAAGCUAGGGAGUGGGAGAGGUAGACGGUACUCGGUAGGAAGGGGUAAAAUCCUUUGAUCUAUUGAUGACCACCAGUGGCGAAGGCGGUCUACCAGAACACGUUCGACGGUGAGGGAUGAAAGCUGGGGGAGCAAACCGGAUUAGAUACCCGGGUAGUCCCAGCUGUAA